UACGUAGGGGGCAAGCGUUAUCCGGAUUUACUGGGUGUAAAGGGAGCGUAGACGGCAAGGCAAGUCUGAAGUGAAAGCCCGGUGCUUAACGUCGGGACUGCUUUGGAAACUGUUUGGCUGGAGUGCCGGAGAGGUAAGCGGAAUUCCUAGUGUAGCGGUGAAAUGCGUAGAUAUUAGGAAGAACACCAGUGGCGAAGGCGGCUUACUGGACGGUAACUGACGUUGAGGCUCGAAAGCGUGGGGAGCAAACAGG
rnacentral:rRNA from 1 species